GAUGAACGCUGGCGGCGUGCUUAACACAUGCAAGUCGAACGGAAAGGCCCAAGCUUGCUUGGGUACUCGAGUGGCGAACGGGUGAGUAACACGUGGGUGAUCUGCCCUGCACUUCGGGAUAAGCCUGGGAAACUGGGUCUAAUACCGGAUAGGACGAUGGUUUGGAUGCCAUUGUGGAAAGUUUUUUCGGUGUGGGAUGAGCUCGCGGCCUAUCAGCUUGUUGGUGGGGUAAUGGCCUACCAAGGCGUCGACGGGUAGCCGGCCUGAGAGGGUGUACGGCAACUGUGGGAGGGAGAGCCGCCCGGGAUCCUGAGGGGGGGAGGGAGGGGGAAUUUUUGAACAGGGGGCGCAAGCUGGAGGCGGCGCCGCGGGGGGGGGGAUGGGGGCUUUGGGGUUGUAACCUCUUGCCGCGGGGGCAGAGGCUUUUUGGGGCGGGUCCGUGGAAAAGAAGCCCCGCCAAACUAGGGC
rnacentral:rRNA from 1 species